GACGUAGGGGGCGAGCGUUGUCCGGAUUUAUUGGGCGUAAAGCGUGCGUAGGCGGCUGCGCAAGUCGGUUGUGAAACCCCGGGGCUCAACCCCGGAACUGCAUCCGAUACUGCGUGGCUAGAGGUAGGUAGGGGAGAUCGGAAUUCCUGGUGUAGCGGUGAAAUGCGCAGAUAUCAGGAGGAACACCGGUGGCGAAGGCGGAUCUCUGGGCCGAUACUGACGCUGAGGAGCGAAAGCGUGGGGAGCGAACAGG
rnacentral:rRNA from 1 species